AACGAACGCUGGCGGCAUGCCUAACACAUGCAAGUCGAACGAGACCUUCGGGUCUAGUGGCGCACGGGUGCGUAACGCGUGGGAACCUGCCCUUAGGUUCGGAAUAACUCCCCGAAAGGGGUGCUAAUACCGGAUAAUUUCUUCGGACCAAAGAUUUAUCGCCUUUGGAUGGGCCCGCGUUGGAUUAGCUAGUUGGUAGGGUAAAAGCCUACCAAGGCGAGGAUCCAUAGCUGGUCUGAGAGGAUGAUCAGCCACACUGGGACUGAGACACGGCCCAGACUCCUACGGGAGGCAGCAGUGGGGAAUAUUGGACAAUGGGCGAAAGCCUGAUCCAGCAAUGCCGCGUGAGUGAUGAAGGCCUUAGGGUUGUAAAGCUCUUUUACCCGGGAUGAUAAUGACAGUACCGGGAGAAUAAGCUCCGGCUAACUCCGUG
rnacentral:rRNA from 1 species